ensembl:lncRNA
AUUUGAUGUGGAUAUGUGUUGAUUUGGACAGCAGAGGCGGCUGCCAAGAGGUCGGGGGCUGAGCUGUGGAAAGGUCAGCUGGUCAUCACGUUCGGGUAGUACGCCGGUCAGACCUUCAGGUGGCUUGUGGAGAAUGAUGUCGGCUGGCUGGUGUGGCUGCUGUUCCAGUACUGCCAGCAGGGAGAGCAGAACGAGCUGCUGAAGUGGCAGAAGGAGCGACUGCUCCUUCGGCCACAAGGUGACUCCUCACCUGAAAGUGCUGUCGGACGCACCGUUCCCGGAGGCUCCUGCGCUGCCAACAUCCCUCCCUCCGCCAGACCGGCCUCAGGUCCAGUACCGGCUCAUCCAUCACGAGGCUGGAAAGAGACGUGGUGAGAAGCGGAGAUUAUUUGUUGAUGAGCCACAGCCUGUGACUCCCGCGAACCGACCCGUUCAGCCCACUGGGUUGUCGUCCUCCACCCGGCCGAAGCCUGCUGCGCUCACCCCCAUUCUGCCGAGGCCUUCUGCGCCCACCCACCUCCAGCCGAGGCCACCCGCUGCGUUGACCUACGGCCCACCCCCUGUGUCGGCAGCACCCAUACUGCAGGUCUUCCCCGCACAGCCACAGGCGCCCUCCGUCCUGUUUCGUGGGACAUCCUGCAGCCAGAGCUUUGUCCCUCCUGCACCAACAGUGAAGGCAUUCAUGCCUAACAAGUCCUCAAGGCCAUGUGGGGCUUGCCACAUGCCAAACUGUGGUGGACAGUGGAAGAGGUACAACCCUUUCAAGGACAAAGUGGCUGGAAGCAUUCAGAAAAUGUUUUCCUACUGUCCAUCCACUAGGAAGUCCACUACCCCUGGCUUCGACAAUGUGGUGUAUGACAACUUUGAACUCUUUAAGAGUGUCGUGGAUGCAGAGUUGGAAAGGAGGACUGUGUGUGUGUGUGUGUGUGUGUGUGUGUGUGUGUGUGUGUGUGUGUGUGUGUGUGUGAAUAACUUACCUCUGUGAUGCCACUGUUCCUGUGCCAUCUGUAAGAGAGAGAAAGAGGCUUGUUUGUGUGUGUUUGUCUCUGUCUUUGUGUGGGUUAUUAAAGUGCUUCAGCAAGCACUAUCUAUUUAUUUAUAUCGUUCAAAAAAAUGCAAAAAAACUUAUAAAAAACUUUGUAGUAUCCAUUCUGGUCUAUUUUCAAUAUCAAGG